UUAAAAUUAAGGUUGAAACCAAUAUGCAAUUAAUUUAUUAAAAAAACUUAUAUAUAGGCUCCACAACCCUGCAAAAUAAAAGGAUAAAUUGAUACACUUUAAAUCAUAGAGUACUAAAGUGAGAAAGUGUGAAACCACAUAUUUAACAGUUGGGAUAUAAUCGUUAUGAAAUCAAGAAGUGAGAACUUGAUUGCAAAAAAAAAAAAAAAAUUAGGGACAAAUAAAAAU
rnacentral:lncRNA from 1 species